CACGUAGGGCGCAAGCGUUGUCCGGAAUUAUUGGGCGUAAAGAGCUCGUAGGCGGUCUGUUACGUCUGCUGUGAAAACCCGGGGCUUAACCCUGGGCUUGCAGUGGAUACGGGCAGACUAGAGGCAGGUAGGGGAGAGUGGAAUUCCCGGUGUAGCGGUGAAAUGCGCAGAUAUCGGGAGGAACACCGGUGGCGAAGGCGGUUCUCUGGGCCUGACCUGACGCUGAGGAGCGAAAGCGUGGGGAGCGAACAGG
rnacentral:rRNA from 1 species